rnacentral:misc_RNA from 1 species
UUAAAAUAUCAAUAUAACAUAAACUAUAAAAUAUCACGUACAAAAACGUUUUAUUUUUUAAAUAUUUGCAAGGUUUCGCGCCGUGAAUUCAAAUUGGUGCGAUUUCAGUUCAUUUCCUACCGCAUGUGUCGCUGUAGUCGCACGUCUCGAACGAUAUCAGGUGAAUCCCCUAAACGUAGAUCAUUUUUUAUGCAUUGUAAUACUAUAUCAUCUUAUUAGAAUCGAUUACAUCAAGUUAACCUUGAAAAACUAUAAUAAAUGUACUCCAUUACAUCAGUCUUGUCGAUAUAUCAUAAAAACAUUUAAAUUUAUGUAACAAAAUGAUCGCUGAAGAAAUUAGAAAAAGAUUAAAAGGAAUCUCGACUAUUUAAUUUUGUCUAAUAAGACAGAAAAAAAGUUGUAAAAUGUUUCGAAAGAAUCAAUACAAACGUUGGAGCGAGCCUUCGUUAUGCAGGCGCCAUUUUUCAUAUUUGCCAGUGACUUCGGAAGAAAAUGAAAUAGAUUUUGUACAACAACAUGGAGCUUCUGGAGAAGAACAUCACUCGGUGGACUGCUGUUUAUGUUAUGAACAUUGUAAUAAGAAAAAGUCUUCCAAGUAUUUAAUCAACGACAAUAUCAAGGCAAGAUCGAACAGAUUGCGUUCGCAACGAACAAGGGAGAACAUGGAAUUAAGGUUGAUUGGAAGUCAGGUUGAGGAAGCCUUAGCUGAUGACAGGCAAGCAGUUUUAAUGCAACAGUUGGAUUUGAUCAGUAAUGCACUUGAGGCAUUAAUUCAUUAUAUACAAUCCUUACAAGUAACCAAUCAAGCUGCUCAAAGGGUGAUGGAUGUUGGACAAUUGUUAAUUAGUACUCGUAUUACUUUGGUUGGUAGCUCAACAACAAAUUUCAAGUCUUUGGCCGAACAGCUUCAACAGAUGGAGAAUAAAAAGGAAUAUCGAGUAUCAUUCUUACGAGAUUUAAGCGAACAUUGUUCUAAGAGUAUGACAAUGUCUAAACAAUUGCGUAUUUUAAUAGAGGAACAUAAAUCGAGGAAAGAAAAUUUUUCCAUAGCUGCCAAAAAUUUUCAACAUUUUCUUAAUACAUCGAAAUUGUCGGAAUUGCAAUUAGAAAAAUUACGUUGUCAAUAUAAUUCUAUUUUGGAGGAUUAUCAAGAGAGUAGACAAAUUUUGGAUACGACUGGUAACACUGCACGAAGGUUUCGGAAGGAUCGUAGAAUUUUUUAACGAUUUGGAUUAUUUCAAAGAAAUUCCCGAGAUAUUCAAACGACUAAAAGAUAAUUUGUCUGUCGAGGAUUUAGUAAAAGAACACAACAUGAUUGCCGCGGAAAUACCGGAAAACGUAGAAACGUGUCAAUUGUGUCAAACAACAAAUCGCGUUGAUAAGAA